rnacentral:rRNA from 1 species
CCUACGGGAUGCAGCAGUGAGGAAUAUUGGUCAAUGGGCGCGAGCCUGAACCAGCCAAGUCGCGUGAGGGAUGAAGGUUCUAUGGAUCGUAAACCUCUUUUAUAAGGGAAUAAAGUGCGGGACGUGUCCCGUUUUGUAUGUACCUUAUGAAUAAGGAUCGGCUACCUCCGUGCCAGCAGCCGCGGUAAUACGGAGGCGCCGAGCGUUAUCCGGAUUUCUUGGGUUUAAAGGGUGCGUAGGCGGCCUUUUAAGUCAGCGGUGAAAUUCUGUGGCUCAACCUUAGAAUUGCGGUUGAAACUGGGAGGCUGGAGGAUGUUUGAGGAAGGCGGAAUGCGUGGUGUAGCGGUGAAAUGCUUAGAUAUCACGCAGAACGCCGAUUGCGAAGGCAGCCUGCCAAGCCAUGACUGACGCUGAUGCACGAAAGCGUGGGGAUCAAACAGGAGUAGAUACCCGGGUAGUC